rnacentral:rRNA from 1 species
CCUACGGGAGGCAGCAGUGAGGAAUAUUGGUCAAUGGGCGCUAGCCUGAACCAGCCAAGUAGCGUGAAGGAUGACUGCACUCUGGGUUGUAAACUUCUUCUAUAUGGGAAUAAAGUGCAGUAUGUAUACUGCUUUGCAUGUACCUUAUGAAUAAGGAUCGGCUAACUCCGUGCCAGCAGCCGCGGUAAUACGGAGGAUGCGAGCGUUAUCCGGAUUUAUUGGGGUUAAAGGGAGCGUAGGCGGGUUGUUAAGUCAGUUGGGAAAGUUUGCGGCUCAACCGUGAAAUUGCAGUUGAUACUGGCAACCUUGAGUACAGUAGAGGUAGGUGGAAUUCGUGGUGUAGCGGUGAAAUGCGUAGAUAUCAGGAAGAACUCCAAUGGCGAAGGCAGCCUGCUGGACUGUAACUGACGCUGAUGCGCGAAAGUGUGGGUAUCAAACAGGAUUAGAUACCCGGGUAGUC